rnacentral:lncRNA from 1 species
GGGCUGCAUUUGCAGCAUAUGGAAGUUCCCACACUAGAGGUUGAAAUGGAGCUGCAGCUGCUGGCACAGCCACAGCAAUGCCAGAUCUGAGACAUGUCUUCAACCUACACCAUAGCUCUUGGCAAUGCCGGAUCCUUAACCCACUGAGCAAGGCCAGGGAUCGAACCCGUAUCCUCAUGGAUACUAGUCAGGAUACUGCUGAGCCACAAUGAGAACUCCAGAAUUUUUGUGCUUAUUUACAGUCAUUCAAGUUACAUUCAAAUAUAUUUUCUGUUGUUUAUUUGAUUUAAAAUUACCAAAAAAUAAAUAAAUCAAAAGGAAGGAUGAAAAGCAAUGAGAAAAGUACCUUUUUCUAGAGGGAAAAGUAUCAUUCCUCUAGGUCUGAAACCUAUGAACUAGAGAGACAAAUUAUCUGUCCCAUACACAACCAAUAUCAUGGUAGGGUAGACAGACAUAGGAUAGUUACUAUAAAUACUCCCCUUCAAAAGGAGAAACAAAAGGCAUGGGGCAGUCUCUCGACCACAGCAAAUCCAACUGGGCGUACACUGCCAAUUCCUUGAUUAGGGUUUACGUCUUUUGCCUGCAAUGAUUCUCCUUAGCUCCUGGCUUCAACCUCUGAGUUAUUCUUCCUAUCCCAUAAAACAUAGCCCAAAUUUUAAGUUCAGUAGUUUGAUAAAUCUACUUCCUGCCUGUAGAAGUUCUAGGGUCUAAAAGCCUCUCUUCAUUUUUGAAGCCAUCUCUGUUCCUUACAGCUCAAACUGAUAGUAUUUCUACAGUAUAAUUUUCUCAAAAGCUUUGUAAGUUUCUUAUGAAUAUUAUUGAUCUUAUUGAGGUUUAUUCAUUAGACAAAACUGCACCAACAAAUUUUGUCUACCGGGGCUCCCUGUAAAGUACCACCUUAAAUUUUUCUGGUGUCUUUUUUGAUUUUCUUUCUUUUCUUAAAUCUGUGUACUGUUUUUGCAAUUGUGAUUUUAUCUUUCCUAAAGACUCUUAUUUCCUUUCUAUUUAGAGAAGACCUUUCAAUAUUUCCUUUAGAAAAGUUUAGCAUUGCCAUAUUUAGUUUUUAUUUAUCUGAGAAAUUAUCUCUUCUAUUCUAAAUGAUAACUUUGCUGGGUAGAAGAUGUGAAUCUGAUUUUGUCCUGAGACCCUUUUCCUUACUUUGGGAAUAUGCUGCUGCAAGAGACUGGCAGUCGGAAAAGGGUUUUAUUUUCUAACCCAGCAAGUUUUGACUUAAUGUAUUUCCUCAAAAUUUUGCUUGAAAACGGAGUAAUUUCUUCUCUAGCUCAUCAUUACUAGUAUUUCAUAUCAGCUCUUUUAAACCAGGUAAAAGUUUAAAACUUUAGCCUGAAAACUGUUCAGGCUUAUCUAUAAGUUCGUUAAGUGUAUUUUGUAUUUCUACAUUAUCAUACAAGGGCUUUUCCCCCAGCUUUAAUAACUUUUCUCCUCACUUUCCUUUAAGCCCUACUGACAACCUCAAGAUCCAUCAGAUUUCUGCUGUUAAUCUCUUCAAGGCCCUUCCAACGUAUGCAGGCAGCUCAGCUGCAAAGCCACUGCCAUAUGUCUUAGGUUUUGUUCUAAUAACACUCCAUUUCCAGGUCUCAAAAUCAUUUCUGAUUAUCUAUUGCUAUGUAACAAAUUACCCUAAAACUUUGGCUUAAAACAACAACCACAGUUUUACUAUUGUCUCUCAUGGUUCUGGGGCUUGACUAAGUUUCUUGCUUAGGGUGUCUCAUGAGCUUGCAGCAGAUGGUAGCUGGUACUGAAAUCAUCUGGGACUUGCUCAUUCAUAUGCAUGGUGCCUGCUCUGGGAAGACUUAAAAUAGCUGGGGGCAGGAACAGCUGGGUUUCCUCAGACAUCUCUCCCUAUGUCUAUGUGAUCUCCCCAUGGUCUUUUCAGCACGGAAACUUCAGGGUAGCUAUUACUACACGGCACCUUAGAGCUCCAAAUGUAUGUGGAGAGAGAGAAGAAGAGAGGAGAGAGGGGCAGAAGGUGUAUCACCUCUCAUAAUCCUGUUUUCAGAUGUCACGCAGUAUUAUUUCUGUUAAACAUUAUUUGUUCUGUUAAACAUUAUUUGUUACACCUGCCAUUAUGGUCCAGAGAAGGAAACAGACUAUCUUCACAAAUCUGAGUGAUGAUGGUCAGGGGUCAUAUACAUUCAAAUGUAUUAAAAUGUUUUAUUCUCAAAGAAAGACCUAUUUCUGUCUUCACUUAUUGAGAGAGAGAGAGAAAAGGGUUUUUUUUGGUCGGGUGGUGGAACCAAAUGUUCUAUUAGGAUAAUUAAGUUCUAAAGCAAGGGUCAGCAAACUAUGACCUACAGGCCAAAUCUGGCCAAUGGCCUGUUUUUAGUAUGGCAAAUGAGCUAAGAAUGAUUUUACAGUUUUAAAGAGGAAGGAAAAAGAAGAAAGCAAAGGAAGAAAAGCAGAAGCAUAUGCAAUAGAGACCACAUGUGACCCACAAAGCCUACAAUAUUUAAUAUCUGGCCCUUUCUUUAAGUGCCUAUUCUAAAGCACUUUCAAAUGUGUUUUCAGAUGUUACUAUAGAUAAAUAGCAAACACAUUUCUAGGAUGCUUUUAACAUACACAUUUUCCACACAAAAAUAGAGUCGAUGCUGUAAUAACACAAGAUCUUGCCCUAUCGAUUAUCCCUCUUCUAUUAUGUAUUCAUUCAAUCCUGAAUCUUCACAUUUCCUCUCAUUUUUCCUCUUUCCACUUACCAACACUCUCAUCUCAUUCAGAAGCAGCCCUUCUUCCCCUACCACUUCCCUCAAGUUUUGUAUGUGUAAUUUUCUUUUGUCCUUGUGUAACUUCUCUCCUCAAAAGACAGAAAUGUUUCUUAUUUCUAAACUAGUCAAAAAGACAACCUACCACACUAAAAUAUCUGCAAAUCAUGUAUCUGAUAAGGGGUUAAUAUCCAAAAUACAUAAAGAACUCAUAUAACUGAGUAGCAAAAACAAUUCAAUUAAAAAAUGGGCAGAGGAUCCAGACAUUUUUCCAAAGAAGACAGAAGAUAGCCAACAGGUACCUGAAAAGGUUCUCAACAUCAUUAAUCAUCAGGGGAAUGCAAAUCAAAACCACAGUGAGAUACCACCUCAUGCCUGUUAGAAGGGCUAUCAUCAAAAAGAUAAGAAAUAACAAGUGUUAGCAAGGACGGAGAGAAAAGAAAAUCACCGUGCAUUGCUGGUGGGAAUGUAAAUAGAUGCAGCCACUAUGGAAAACAGUCUAGAGGUUCCUGCCAAUAGAACUGCCAAUUCCAACAAUUUCACUUCUGGGUAUUUAUCUAAAAAAAACGAAAACACUUACUCAAAAAGAUACAGGAACCCCCCGUGUUCACUGCAGCUUUUUUUACAACAGGCAAGAUAUGAAAGCAACCUAAGUCUUCAUCAAUGGAUGAAUGGAAAUGUGAUUAUAUAUAAAUCCAAUGGAAUAUUACUCAGCCAUUUAAAAAAAAUGAAGCCUUGCCAUAUGUAACAAAAUGGAUGGACCCUGAGGGCAUUAUGCAAAGUGAAGUUAAGUCAGAGAAAAAUAAAUACCAUAUGACCUCACCUAUAUAUGGCAUCUAAAACAUAAAAUUAAAUAACAACUAAAUUCAUAGAAACAGAGAAUAGAUCGGUGGUUUCCAGAGGCAAGGGGUGGGGAAUGGCCAAAAUGGGUGAAGGUGGUCAAAAGGUACAGACUUCCAAAAUAAUUACAUCAUGAGGACGUAAUGUACAUCCGGUGAUGUUAACAAUACUGUUGCUAAUAGCAUAGAUCUUAAAAGUUCUCAU